rnacentral:rRNA from 1 species
AUCAAACAGGAUUAGAUACCCUGGUAGUCCACGCAGUAAACGAUGAUUACUAGGAGUUUGCGAUAAAAUGUAAGCUCUACAGCGAAAGCGUUAAGUAAUCCACCUGGGGAGUACGCCGGCAACGGUGAAACUCAAAGGAAUUGACGGGGGCCCGCACAAGCGGAGGAACAUGUGGUUUAAUUCGAUGAUACGCGAGGAACCUUACCCGGGUUUGAACGCAGUCCGACCGCCGAUGAAAGUCGGCUUCUAGCAAUAGCGGAUUGCGAGGUGCUGCAUGGUUGUCGUCAGCUCGUGCCGUGAGGUGUCGGCUUAAGUGCCAUAACGAGCGCAACCCUUGCCGUUAGUUACUAACAAGUUAUGUUGAGGACUCUAGCGGGACUGCCAGCGUAAGCUGUGAGGAAGGCGGGGAUGACGUCAAAUCAGCACGGCCCUUACAUCCGGGGCGACACACGUGUUACAAUGGCGUGGACAAAGAGCAGCCACUUGGCGACAAGGAGCUAAUCUCCAAACCACGUCUCAGUUCGGAUCGGAGUCUGCAACUCGACUCCGUGAAGCUGGAUUCGCUAGUAAUCGCGCAUCAGCCACGGCGCGGUGAAUACGUUCCCGGGCCUUGUACACACCGCCCGUCAAGCCAUGAAAGCCGNNNNNNNNUGAAGUGCGUAACCGCAAGGAGCGUCCUAGGGUAAAACCGGUAAUUGGGGCAAGGUCGUAACAAGGUAACCA